AGUGAACGCUGGCGGUAGGCCUAACACAUGCAAGUCGAACGGCAGCACAGUAAGAGCUUGCUCUUACGGGUGGCGAGUGGCGGACGGGUGAGGAAUACAUCGGAAUCUAUUUUUUCGUGGGGGAUAACGUAGGGAAACUUACGCUACUACCGCAUACGACCUACGGGUGAAAGCAGGGGAUCUUCGGACCUUGCGCGAUCGAAUGAGCCGAUGUCGGAUUAGCUAGUUGGCGGGGUAAAGGCCCACCAAGGCGACGAUCCGUAGCUGGUCUGAGAGGAUGAUCAGCCACACUGGAACUGAGACACGGUCCAGACUCCUACGGGAGGCAGCAGUGGGGAAUAUUGGACAAUGGGCGCAAGCCUGAUCCAGCCAUACCGCGUGGGUGAAGAAGGCCUUCGGGUUGUAAAGCCCUUUUGUUGGGAAAGAAAAGCAGCAGGUUAAUACCCCGCUGUUCUGACGGUACCCAAAGAAUAAGCACCGGCUAACUUCGUG
rnacentral:rRNA from 1 species